rnacentral:rRNA from 1 species
AUUGAACGCUGGCGGCAGGCCUAACACAUGCAAGUCGAACGGCAGCACAGAAGAGCUUGCUCUUUGGGUGGCGAGUGGCGGACGGGUGAGUAAUGUCUGGGAAACUGCCCGAUGGAGGGGGAUAACUACUGGAAUCGGUAGCUAAUACCGCAUAACGUCGCAAGACCAAAGUGGGGGACCUUCGGGCCUCACACCAUCGGAUGUGCCCAGAUGGGAUUAGCUAGUAGGUGGGGUAAUGGCUCACCUAGGCGACGAUCCCUAGCUGGUCUGAGAGGAUGACCAGCCACACUGGAACUGAGACACGGUCCAGACUCCUACGGGAGGCAGCAGUGGGGAAUAUUGCACAAUGGGCGCAAGCUUGAUGCAGCAAUGCCGCGUGUAUGAAGAAGGCCUUCGGGUUGUAAAGUACUUUCAGCGGGGAGGAAGGCGGUGAGGUUAAUACCUUGCCGAUUGACGUUACCCGCAGAAGAAGCACCGGCUAACUCCGUGCCAGCAGCCGCCGCAG